rnacentral:rRNA from 1 species
AGUGAACGCUGGCGGCGUGCUUAACACAUGCAAGUCGAACGAGAACGGAAUAUAGCUUGCUAUAUUUGUCAGCUAAGUGGCGCACGGGUGAGUAAUGUAUAGAUAACCUGCCCUUAAGAAAGGAAUAACAGUUGGAAACGACUGCUAAUGCCCUAUAUGCCUUUAAUACAUAAGUAUGCAAGGGAAACGCUUUAGUGCUUAAGGAUGGGUCUGUAUGGUAUCAGCUUGUUGGUGAGGUAAUGGCUCACCAAGGCUAUGACGCCUAACUGGUUUGAGAGGAAGAGCAGGCACACUGGAACUGAGACACGGUCCAGACUCCUACGGGAGGGAGCAGUGGGGAAUAUUGCAUAGUGGACGAAAGUCUGAUGCAGCAACGCCGCGUGGAGGAUGACACAUUUCGGUGCGUAAUCUCCUUUUAUAUAGGAAGAUAAUGAAGGUACUAUAUGAAUAAGCACCGGCUAACUCCGUGCGAGCAGCCGCAGUAA